rnacentral:rRNA from 1 species
CGAACGCUGGCGGCGUACUUACCACAUGCACGUCGACCGGCAAGGCCCUGCUUUUGUGGGGUGCUCGAGUGGCGAACGGGUGAGUAACACGUGAGUAACCUGCCCUUGACUUUGGGAUAACUUCAGGAAACUGGGGCUAAUACCGGAUAGGAGCUCCUGCUGCAUGGUGGGGGUUGGAAAGUUUCGGCGGUUGGGGAUGGACUCGCGGCUUAUCAGCUUGUUGGUGGGGUAGUGGCUUACCAAGGCUUUGACGGGUAGCCGGCCUGAGAGGGUGACCGGCCACAUUGGGACUGAGAUACGGCCCAGACUCCUACGGGAGGCAGCAGUGGGGAAUAUUGCACAAUGGGCGGAAGCCUGAUGCAGCAACGCCGCGUGCGGGAUGACGGCCUUCGGGUUGUAAACCGCUUUCGCCUGUGACGAAGCGUGAGUGACGGUAAUGGGUAAAGAAGCACCGGCUAACUACGUG